GAUGAAGAACGCAGUGAAAUGCGAUACGUAAUGUGAAUUGCAAAUUCAGUGAAUCAUCGAGUCUUUGAACGCACAUUGCGCCCCCUGGUAUUCCGGGGGGCAUGCCUGUCCGAGCGUCAUUGCUGCCCUCAAGCACGGCUUGUGUGUUGGGCCCCGUCCUCCGAUCCCGGGGGACGGGCCCGAAAGGCAGCGGCGGCACCGCGUCCGGUCCUCGAGCGUAUGGGGCUUUGUCACCCGCUCUGUAGGCCCGGCCGGCGCUUGCCGAUCAACCCGAAUUUUUUAUCCAGGUUGACCUCGGAUCAGGUAGGGAUACCCGCUGAACUUAAGCAUAUCAAUAAGCGGAGGA
rnacentral:misc_RNA from 1 species